CAGCGAGGGCAGCGGAACGGGCCGGGCGGGCGCUGCUGCUGCCCUCCCUCGGCACGGGGCCGAGCCGGGCCGAGCCGAGCCCAAGCGGGCCGGACUGCGCCGAGCCCAGCGGAGGAGCCCGACAGAACCGAGCCGAGCCGAGGAGCCCGACGGAACCGAGCCCAACCGGGCCGGGCCGAGCCGAGCGGAGGAGCCCGACAGAACCGAGCCGGGCCGAGUGGAGCCGAACUGAGCCGAAGAAUCGAGCGCAGCCGAGCCCAGUCGAGUGGUGCCGAACCGAGCCGGGCCGAGCGCAGCCGAGGGAGCCGAACAGAUCCGAACCAACCCGAGUGGGGCCGAACUGAGCUGAGAAGAGCCGAGGAGCCGAACCGAGCCGGGCCGAGCGCAGCCGAACGAAGCCGAGCCGGGCCGAGCGCAGCUGAACGGGGCCGAGCCGAGCCGAGCGCCCGAACCGAGCGAGGCCGAGCAGAGCCGAGCGCAGCCGAACCGCUUCGUUUCCUCGCCCUUCCCCACGGGGUGACCUCGGUGCCAGGCGGGCUGCUGGCCUCCGUCCCCGCGUGCCGCCAUGGCGUCGCGCAUCGGGCUGCGGAUGGAGCUGAUGAAGCAGCAGGCGCAGCAGGAAGCCGAGCGGGAGCGGGUGCAGCAGCAGAUGAUGAUGAGCUACAUGCAGCAGCAGCGCAUGCCCGUGGCCUCCAGCCCCGCCAUCAACACCCCCGUCCACUUCCAGUCCCCUCCGCCCGUGCCCGGGGAGGUGCUCAAGGUCCAGUCCUACCUGGAGAACCCCACCUCCUACCACCUGCAGAAGUCCCGGGACAAGAAGGUGCAGGCUUAUCUCUCGGAGACCUACGGGAACAAGUUUGCUGCCCACGUCAGCCCCGCCAGCCACUCCCCCAAGCCACCCCCGGCCGCGUCCCCCGGCGUCCGGCCCGGCCACGUCCUGUCCUCCUCCGCGGGCAACAGCGCUCCCAACAGCCCCAUGGCCAUGCUCAACAUCGGCUCCAACCCCGAGAGGGAGUUUGAUGAGGUCAUCGAUGACAUCAUGCGCCUGGAUGAUGUUUUGGGCUACAUGAACCCUGAAGUCCACAUGCCCAACACGCUGCCCAUGUCCAGCAGCCACAUGAAUGUCUACAGUGGGGACCCUCAGGUGACGGCGUCGCUCGUUGGUGUCACCAGCAGCUCCUGCCCCGCCGAGCUCACCCAGAAGAGAGAGCUCACAGAUGCUGAGAGCCGAGCCCUGGCCAAGGAGCGGCAGAAGAAAGACAAUCACAACCUGAUCGAGAGGAGGCGAAGGUUCAACAUCAACGACCGCAUCAAGGAGCUGGGAAUGCUGAUCCCCAAAGCCAACGACCUGGACGUGCGCUGGAACAAAGGGACAAUCCUGAAGGCGUCCGUGGACUACAUCAAGAGGAUGCAGAAGGACCUGCAGAGGUCCCGGGACCUGGAGAACCACUCGCGGCGCCUGGAGAUGGCCAACAAGCAGCUGCUGCUCCGCAUCCAGGAGCUGGAGAUGCAGGCCCGUGUCCAUGGGCUGCCCACCUCCUCACCCUCGGGCGUCAACGUGGCCGAGCUGGCUCAGCAAGUGGUCAAGCAAGAAGCCAGCGGGGACGAGGGCACCCUGGAGCCACUGCUGCCACCCCCCGAGGCCGAGUCACAGGCUCAGCCAGCGCUGCCCGUGCCCCCUCAGUCCCCCUAUCACCAGCUGGACUUCACCCACAGCCUGAGCUUCGAUGACGGCUCCUUCCCGGACAGCCUGGAGCCCAGCUCCUCCUUCCCAUCCCUCUCCAAGAAGGAGCUGGACUUGAUGCUGAUGCAGGACACGAUGCUGCCGCUGGCCUCUGACCCCCUGUUCUCAGCCAUGUCCCCCGAGGCCUCCAAGGCCAGCAGCCGCCGCAGCAGCUUCAGCAUGGAGGACGCGGACAUGCUGUGAUGGGGCAGCUGCCAGGGCAGGGGGUGCAGCUCAGCUUUGGGUGGGCACGGCCCAGGAGCCUCCUGGCAGGAGGAGCCCGUCCCAGCACGCACCUGGAUCUCCUCAGGAGUUCCUUUGUCUAUGCAAGGAGGGCUCGGGUGCCACCGAGUCUGUCACAGCUUCUUUUGGCCAGGAGGAGGAGGAGGAGGAGGAGGAUGGACCUUCCUGGCUUGGCCUGACUGCAGAUUGCACAGCCUGGCAGUGACAUCUGGGCUGCUUUGCCUUUCAGCUGAAGCCUCCUGGCCUCACCCCCUUCCCCGGGGUGGUGCCUGGGAGCCUGGAGCCCCCGUGAGCUUUGUGUCCUGUUUGGUGUCUCCUCACCUUGCUCUGGGAUCCUUCAUCCCCACCGAGUCCUCCUCGGCCCCUGGAUGCUUCCCAGUGCCCCCAGUUCCUCCUUGCUGGGAGCACUCACUGCCCAUGGGGUCCCAGCAGGGUUAAUUAGAGUGCAUUCAUUAAUACAGCACCACUGGGGGUGUUUGCAGGUGGGUGUUGAAGGUUCCAGAACACCUGGAAUGGGGGGAUUUGAUGCUCCACCAACCCCCUGUUGUCACCCCCAGCACCCCAAAACCUCGGGGCAAGGCUGCCAGGUGACCCUGGGUGUCCUGGAGGUGUCCCCAACCAGUGUUUGUGCCCUGUGACACCCCCAGCUCUGUCCUGGAGGAUAAAAGGGUUAAAAGGGUUUUCUGGAAGGAUAAAAAGGAUUUUCCACUUAUUUUUUUGGGGAUACUCCUUGCAAGUCCUGCCCCACGUGGGCAGGAAGCUCCGGGCUAUGAGCAGGGAAUGGUUGGUGCCAGCUGGAAUUCAGGGCUUGUUCCUCCUCCCAGUGUCACCAGUUUGUUCCGCAGCUCUGGACUGGGGAGCUGCUCUGGGCUCUGCCUCAGGUCCUGACUUCCCAAAUGCAGCUGGGAAUGAGCUGGGAAGGGCAGGGGAAGGAUGGAAAACCCUCCUUAUUUAUUGAGGGAGAGAGGAGAGGAGAGGAGACCCCUUGGGAAUGGUCCCCCCUGGGUCACUCUGUGCCCCCAUCAUGGGGCUGGGUGACCUGGGGGGACACAGGGAUGUCCUGAGGGGAACACAGGGAUGUCCUGGGGGAACACAGGGAUGUCCUGAGGGGACACAGAGAUGUAACCUGGUGGCCCCUGGUGACAGGAUUUGGGGUUGGAUGUGGAGGCCAGCCCCUCAGAGGGGUCUGUGCUGGUCUGUGGGGUCACUGUGUGCCCCCAUCAUGGGGCUGGGUGUCCUGAGGGGACACAGGGAUGUCCUGGGGGGUCACAGGGAUGUCCUGAGGGGACACAGGGAUGUCCUGGGGGGACACAGGGAUGUCACCCGGUGGCCCCUGGUGACAGGAUUUGGGGUUGGAUGUGGAGGCCAGCCCCACAGAGGGGUCUGUGCUGGUCUGUGGGGUCACUCUGUGUCCCCAUCAUGGAGCUGGGUGUCCUGAGGGGACACAGGGAUGUCACCCGGUGGCCCCUGGUGACAGGAUUUGGGGUCGGAGGUGGGAACAGCCCCACAGAGGGGUCUGUGGGACGUGAGGGUGUGGGGAAGUGCAGAGUGAGGAGGAGCUGGAGCAGGGCAGGGAGCUGAGGGGACGCUGGGUGGCCUGGGAGGGGCUCCAGGUGAGGAAGAGGAGGAUCCAGGAGAGCUCAGAGCUCCGGGGGUGUUCACAGGAGGCCUUGGCACCCUUUGUGUGCUGCCAUCAGUGCCUGCAAAGAGAAUUGUCCCCACCAGGGUCACCCCUGGCCGUGCUGGGGACCUGGCUGUGGGACACUCUGUGCCCUCCAGGGCACGAAAUCCCACAGGAAAUUCAGAUUUUUGUGGCUUUAGGGUGCCCUGGCCACUGCUCAGCACGAGAUGUCUCCCCUGGCAGUGAGUACACAGUUGUGGAUUAUAAUUACUCUAUUUUUUUUUUAAUCUUUUUGGGAGUUUUUUGUUUGUUUUUUUCUUUUUUUUUUUUUAAUGCACUGUGCUCUGAUUAAAAAAUUUUACUACUGUUUUAUAAAUAAAUGUAUAAAAGAAUGAACUGGAA